ensembl:snoRNA
UAAUUCUCUGUUGGCCGGUGCAAUCCAGUGGUGAGCUGACAGUAACCCCAGCUUAGGAAACAGGGUUGUUCUUCACGUGGGUGACUCUGCGCCUAAGGCAUGGGAACAGCC